GGAUUGAGAUCCCCGGCAAUACCCAAGAAAUUGCCCAACCACAAUUUCUCCAAUCUAAGCCGUCCAAUUAACAUGCCACUUCAUCGAUCCGCGUCAAAUCUCAGAAGAAACAUCUUCUCCCUCCCCAAAUGGCAAAAUACAAAAAAUUCGCUUGAUGCCAGGGAGACAAGGUUUUAGGCAGAAAAUUUUGGGAUGAUACCUGUACCUUUCCCGGAAAAAGUCGCCUGAUACCUGUACCUUUUCCCGGCGAUUUCCUCAACCUCCUGGGACCGCGAUUUUUGCGAGGUUCCGGAGCCCCCAGUUCCAGAUCUGGACUCGCCUGGACGUUCUUCUCUCCUCCAACUCGACCUCUCUCCAUGGCUGUUUCAUCCUCUGCUCAACCAACCACAAACCCGCAGGUCUCUAUUUUUUUUGUUGAUUUUUAUUUGGUUAUAGUACAUGGGUUGUUUGUCUGAUUUGUGGGUUGUUCUGGGUUUGCUUUUCUCCCGAACCCUUUGUUUGGUUACCGAGAAAAUGAAAGGAAACCAGAAGAUUCAAAAUUGUGGUUUCAGAUAUUCAUGUAUUCAGAUUUUUUUUUCUUUCUUUUUUCAUUUCAUGUAUUCAGAUGUUCCUACAGAGUUUAAUGUUUUUGUUUUUGAAA